rnacentral:sRNA from 1 species
AUGAGGCUGAAGACACUGACCAAUUCAACUUUAUUGUCACUGGUGUGCAGAGUGCUCUUGGAGAAACUCUCUCAUUUGGACAGAUAAUCAAUUGUGAUGGUCAGAUAGAGAACUGGAUGAGUAGUGUCUUAAACCAGUUGAAAUCUACCCUUAAGUCUCAGCUUGCAGAUGCCCUGGCUCAAGAGGAUGAGGCUAGGCCAAAAACUAGACAGAUACACAGUGCUGGAGCUAGGAAAGUGUCACUGCCAAUACAAGAUGAUGCCAACAAUGAAAUAGUGCA